AGACCCGAAACCCGGUGAUCUAGCCAUGGGCAGGUUGAAGGUUGGGUAACACUAACUGGAGGACCGAACCGACUAAUGUUGAAAAAUUAGCGGAUGACCUGUGGCUGGGGGUGAAAGGCCAAUCAAACCGGGAGAUAGCUGGUUCUCCCCGAAAGCUAUUUAGGUAGCGCCUCGUGAAUUCAUCUCCGGGGGUAGAGCACUGUUUCGGCUAGGGGGCCAUCCCGGCUUACCAACCCGAUGCAAACUGCGAAUACCGGAGAAUGUUAUCACGGGAGACACACGGCGGGUGCUAACGUCCGUCGUGAAGAGGGAAACAACCCAGACCGCCAGCUAAGGUCCCAAAGUCAUGGUUAAGUGGGAAACGAUGUGGGAAGGCCCAGACAGCCAGGAUGUUGGCUUAGAAGCAGCCAUCAUUUAAAGAAAGCGUAAUAGCUCACUGGUCGAGUCGGCCUGCGCGGAAGAUGUAACGGGGCUAAACCAUGCACCGAAGCUGCGGCAGCGACGCUGAUGCGUUGUUGGGUAGGGGAGCGUUCUGUAAGCCUGCGAAGGUGGCCUGUGAGGGUUGCUGGAGGUAUCAGAAGUGCGAAUGCUGACAUAAGUAACGAUAAAGCGGGUGAAAAGCCCGCUCGCCGGAAGACCAAGGGUUCCUGUCCAACGUUAAUCGGGGCAGGGUGAGUCGACCCCUAAGGCGAGGCCGAAAGGCGUAGUCGAUGGGAAACGGGUUAAUAUUCCCGUACUUGGUGUUACUGCGAAGGGGGGACGGAGAAGGCUAUGUUGGCCGGGCGACGGUUGUCCCGGUUUAAGCGUGUAGGUGUGUGUUCCAGGUAAAUCCGGUUCACUUUAACACUGAGGCGUGACGACGAGGCACUACGGUGCUGAAGCAACAAAUGCCCUGCUUCCAGGAAAAGCCUCUAAGCAUCAGGUAACAUCAAAUCGUACCCCAAACCGACACAGGUGGUCAGGUAGAGAAUACCAAGGCGCUUGAGAGAACUCGGGUGAAGGAACUAGGCAAAAUGGUGCCGUAACUUCGGGAGAAGGCACGCUGACACGUAGGUGAAGUGAUUUACUCAUGGAGCUGAAGUCAGUCGAAGAUACCAGCUGGCUGCAACUGUUUAUUAAAAACACAGCACUGUGCAAACACGAAAGUGGACGUAUACGGUGUGACGCCUGCCCGGUGCCGGAAGGUUAAUUGAUGGGGUCAGCGCAAGCGAAGCUCCUGAUCGAAGCCCCGGUAAACGGCGGCCGUAACUAUAACGGUCCUAAGGUAGCGAAAUUCCUUGUCGGGUAAGUUCCGACCUGCACGAAUGGCGUAAUGAUGGCCAGGCUGUCUCCACCCGAGACUCAGUGAAAUUGAACUCGCUGUGAAGAUGCAGUGUACCCGCGGCAAGACGGAAAGACCCCGUGAACCUUUACUAUAGCUUGACACUGAACAUUGAGCCUUGAUGUGUAG
rnacentral:rRNA from 2 species